rnacentral:rRNA from 1 species
UACGGAGGGGGCGAGCGUUAUUCGGAAUUAUUGGGCGUAAAGGGCGCGUAGGCGGCUGUACAAGUCAAAGGUGAAAUCCCUCGGCUCAACUGAGGAACUGCCUUUGAAACUGUACGGCUUGAGGCCGGGAGGGGGUAGCGGAAUUCCCAAUGUAGCGGUGAAAUGCGUAGAUAUCGGGAGGAACACCAGUGGCGAAGGCGGCUUCCUGGCCUGUUCUUGACGCUGAGGCGCGAAAGCUAGGGGAGCAAACGGG